GACGAACGCUGGCGGCGUGCUUAACACAUGCAAGUCUACGAGAACGAGGUAGCAAUAUCUCUAUUAAAGUGGCGCACGGGUGCGUAACACGUAAGCAAUCUACCUUUGGGUCUGGAAUAACUUCGAGAAAUCGAGGCUAAUACCGGAUAAUGCAGCGGCACCGCAUGGUGAUGUUGUUAAAGUUUAAGUAAUGCCUUUAGAUGAGCUUGCGUCUGAUUAGCUAGUUGGUAGGGUAAAGGCCUACCAAGGCAACGAUCAGUAGCUGGUCUGAGAGGAUGAUCAGCCACACUGGAACUGAGACACGGUCCAGACUCCUACGGGAGGCAGCAGUGAGGAAUAUUGGGCAAUGGGCGAAAGCCUGACCCAGCAACGCCGCGUGGAGGAUGAAGGCCGUAAGGUUGUAAACUCCUGUUAGAGGAGAAGAACAGUACCGAUUGGAUCGGUAUUUGACU
rnacentral:rRNA from 1 species